AACGAACGCUGGCGGCAGGCUUAACACAUGCAAGUCGAACGCAUCCUUCGGGGUGAGUGGCAGACGGGUGAGUAACGCGUGGGAACGUGCCCUUCAGUUCGGGAUAACCCAGGGAAACUUGGGCUAAUACCGGAUACGUGCGAGAGCAGAAAGAUUUAUCGCUGAAGGAUCGGCCCGCGUCUGAUUAGCUAGUUGGUGGGGUAAUGGCCCACCAAGGCGACGAUCAGUAGCUGGUCUGGGAGGAUGAUCAGCCACAUUGGGACUGAGACACGGCCAAAACUCCUACGGGGGGCAGCAGUGGGGAAUAUUGGACAAUGGGCGCAAGCCUGAUCCAGCCAUGCCGCGUGAGUGAUGAAGGCCUUAGGGUUGUAAAGCUCUUUCGUCCGGGACGAUAAUGACGGUACCGGAAGAAGAAGCCCCGGCUAACUUCGUGCCAGCCGCCGCCGUAACAC
rnacentral:rRNA from 1 species